rnacentral:lncRNA from 1 species
UUAUCUCUCCCCUCCGAUAUCUACUGGAAAUCGGAAGUCUCUGCCGAGGAACCGAUGCUCAUGAUACCAAUUUGUCAGGCCCCAAUUGAGAUGCAAGCGAAUAUCUAGAGCGAUUUGGGGCAAAAAGGGGAUCGUAGAUCCAGAAGUUUAUAUUUCUACUAAAAGAUAUAUGUUUAUGGAGUAUUACUUCUGCUCGAAGGCAAGAAUUCAUAGAAUAAACGAUACCCUUUCUCAGCCACAACCCGACUUCUUUAUAGGCUAAGGGGACAGCUACUGCAGUGACAACGGAAAGAAACGGUACAGCUGUAAAGACGAUCGGACGGUCCUGGUAAAGCCUAUCCUUGCUGAGUGAUGAUGGCCGUCCGAUUGGCUCAAAGCGUUACUUGCCGGAUGACUAUAGUUAACUGAACUUGAUCGUCAGUGGCUGAUACCUGACAUGGUUGUCGCUCGAUGCCAGAGUGCACGUCUACACGGUACGGCUGGUGUUCGGUAAUUUCUUCAAAGUAACCAAUAUAUUGACCAUGAAUGAAUCCUUAAGUUCUCCUUCUGCAUGCGCCGUGACUUUGACGGUUGGCAUUGCCAUGCCCCUCCCCUCCUUUUGCCGUAGACCCACAAACCAUGGCCACCAUUUGUUAUUUUGAAGAAAAGACACCUGAACAAGGGCAUCUUAUAUCCUAUGAUUAUUGAGGAAAUCAGUAUUAUUAUUAUUAUUAUUAUUAUUAUUAUUAUUAUUAUUAUUAUUGAAUACUUUUCAUAAGUUAAGUUAUGACAAGUAUUAAAAAAAGAAGAAGAAAAAGACACGAAGCCAACACUAGAAUUACAUCGACAUGCAUAUUGACCAUUUUCUUCCUUUGAUUGCGUGGUGUCCGCUCGAGAUCCAAAGUUGUAUUCAACCGGUUGUAAGGGAAAGGGACAAAUGCAAACAUCAAGGUAUGCAACAUAACAAUUUGGAAUAGAAAAUCAAAAGAAGAGGUCCAAGUCGUCGCUCCAAGAGCCAGCCAGGCAACAGAUAAUCAAUAGUGGCAUAGAGUUCACAAGCUCAUAGUUCAGCAUCUAUAUCUGUAUCUAUACCAAUAUAAAAAGACACAAGGGGGCAGAUCCAACAAAUCUCAGCCAUCAAAUGGUGUUAAUCCAACGAUCUAUAUUGCUCCAAUGGCGAGCGCUCAACAUGUUUAGUGUGCAAUUAAUAACAUACCAUAUAUGGAUUAUCCAUGUAAUUAACGCGUAAUUGAUAUCCUACUUAAUAUCAACACGCAAUGAAUUUUCUGCCUGAUAUCAACUUGCAACUAAUUUUCUGUCUGAUAUCAACGUGCAUUGCACGUAUCCAUUUACUAGUUACUAAAAUGAGAGAAAUGGUUUAGGAAGGGGAAACUACCUCAUUCGAUUCACACGAUUUUGAGAACCUACGAAUAGCCCAUCAACAUCUUACAUGGUUUUGAUUUGUUUGAUUGUAUCACAUGAAAAUAAAGAAUGGUUUGAGUGGAUGUUAUAAUC